AAUGGUGCAGUAAUCACAGAAUAAGAGGGAGAGGGAGAGAAAGAGAUGGGUAUAUUACGGGAAGAUGUGGUCCUUGGCCAACAUCAACAUUACAAAUAACUGAUAUUGAUAAACUUAUGGCGUGUGUCUCAAUCAAAGGAAGCCCCCUGCAAGUCGAUCUGACUUUGUAAAACUAACUGAUCAUUGAUGCUGAAGACUCUCUUAUUGGGCGAUCACAGAUAAUGAUUGCUAAUCUGUAAUCCUAUGAUCUUGAUUCCAUGCAAUGGAUAUAGGUAUUCAUAAUUAAUUACUUCUGCCUUGUUCGUAUCUAUGCUACAUUGCAUGUCCUCUAUCAUACAGCUAUCAGCCGCAAAAUCUGUAUUUAAAAAGUGUCCGUCUUCAAAAACCUGUGGAGUGAGAAAGAGAGAAAAGGGAAAAAAAUUAAAGAAGCCUGCCUAAAGAUACCGGUAGUUGAAUGCCUUCUCCAUAAAAUAGAUUACAAGCUUUGUUCUUGUUGGUCAUUAUGGCUGAGUGUCUCAUGUUAAGUCCAGAAAGCUCAUGCUGAUCGAGAAGGAGGAGAGAAAAAAAGCCUGAUGUGGAUAGGUAUCUGUUGGAUUUGAGUGGUAAAGCUAUAAGAUGGCCAACCAUUUCUACCAUAUUUGUGACUAUACAGUUCAUGCUGAAUUGGAUUAAUUAUCAACUGUUAACUGUGGUAGAAAAAAGAUCACAUUUCUCAACAGUUUGUAAAUUAAGAAGUGCAGCAUGAUGUCGAGCCAAUUUAAAAGAGUGCUGUAGAAACGGUUCACUAGUGAAAGAAUUUGGUCAGUGAAAAAAUAUCCUGGAGAAGUUGAUUUAAAAAUUAGUGAAAGUUGUAACAUGCUGUUGAGAUAUAUAGACAUUACUUGAUUGAAAAACUUACCAUUAUCAAAAGACUCAGGAGGGAUAUUGAUUUAGCUCGUAGAGGCAUGUACAUUAUUCCCUCAUUAUCUACACUGCUGGAGAAAAUUGUCAUAGUUCAAUUAUUUCAUAAAUAUUUGAUCACUGU
rnacentral:sRNA from 1 species